rnacentral:rRNA from 1 species
AUUGAACGCUGGCGGCAUGCCUUACACAUGCAAGUCGAACGGUAACAGGUUAAGCUGACGAGUGGCGAACGGGUGAGUAAUGUAUCGGAACGUGCCCAGUCGUGGGGGAUAACUGCUCGAAAGAGCAGCUAAUACCGCAUACGACCUGAGGGUGAAAGCGGGGGAUCGCAAGACCUCGCGCGAUUGGAGCGGCCGAUAUCAGAGUAGGUAGUUGGUGAGGUAAAGGCUCACCAAGCCGACGAUCUGUAGCUGGUCUGAGAGGACGACCAGCCACACUAGGACUGAGACACGGCCCAGACUCCUACGGGAGGCAGCAGUGGGGAAUUUUGGACAAUGGGCGCAAGCCUGAUCCAGCCAUGCCGCGUGCGGGAAGAAGGCCUUCGGGUUGUAAACCGCUUUUGUCAGGGAAGAAAAGGUUCUGGCUAAUACCUGGGACUCAUGACGGUACCUGAAGAAUAAGCACCGGCUAACUACGUG